GGGUACUGUUGUCAUGCCAGUCUAGCAUGGCGAUUAAGAGCAGUCAUCCUGGAGCUAGAUUACCUGGAUUUUUGUCCUAGCUCCACCACUUACUUCCUGUGUGACUUUGGUUGAAUUACUUAACCUUUCUGUGCCUUGUUGUUAAAUAGGGAUAAUAACUGUACCUACUUCAUAAAUGGGUUGCUAGAUGGUUUAAUGAGUUCACACAAAGUGUUUACAUACUAGGUAUCAUCCCCAAUUUGUGGUGGCAAAACCUGAGACGGAGGAUUUUGGUAACUUGCUCAAGGUCACACAGCUGAGAAGGGCCAAAGGUACGACUCAAACCCAGGCGGUCGGGUUCCGGAGUCAAGGCUCUUCAGCUCGGCGCUGUGGCUCUUGUUGGGGAGGAAUGGAAGGCCUGGCUCCCCGGUGGCGGCACGGGGCCAGCUCUCUCCUCGGACGCUGCCGCGGAGCAGGUGUCGGGCCUCCGAGGCGCUCCCGGCCCCCGGCGGGAGGAAUAACUGGGCCCUGGAUGUGAUGUGAUGAGUGAAUAUUCCUGAUGAGAAGUGGAAAUAAUUCAUGGUUGAGAGCUGUGCCUCAGAUCAGAGUGACAGGAUACAUGGCCAGGCUAUAUUUUCCAGCAGAUUACGUUAAAAGCUGUGGCCUAAGACUCUAAAGUAUGAAGACAAAAGGAGAAGAUGACACAAUAUCUUUCUAAAGAAAUAUUUUCCAGCCAAACGGUGCAGCAGAUGACUUCUAGGAAUUUGUUCUUGUUCUCUAUUGAAGGUGAAGAGUUCACAGCCUUCAAGGAAGCAAGAAGACGUGGGAUGGAGUGAGGAAGCCAGCUGCUGGAACUCUCUGAGCCCCAGUUUGCUCGUCUCUAAAAUGGGGCUGAUCUGUCUUCCCAGGGUGGUCAUUUCAGGUUAAAUGAGGUGUUGAGUGUAAAGGCAACCCUCACACAGCAUAUGAUUCCUAGCUAGGGGGAUCUGAGUUCUGGUUCUGGUCCUGCUAGGGUAUGGCUGGUUGGGAGGAUCAAAGAGAUAAUUAGAGGGAUUGCCAGUUUCCUAAUGGGGAGCCAAAAUUGCCAUUUUAGACCAAGCAUGUGGCCAAGGUGACAACCUCACCAUUUCAUUUCUUCACGUUUAUUUAUUGAGCAAGAUUGGGGGGCAUGUGUGUUCUGUGGAGCCAAAGGAGGAGCUUGGUGGUUAGAGAAGGAGAGACGGAAGGCUGAGACAAUCAAGGAUGAGAAAGGAAGGGUUUUAGUGACCUGGGGUGAGGGCAAGGAGAGAGGAACAGCCUGUGCAAGGAUGUGGAGGCAGGACCAAGUGUGAAGAUGCAGGCUGGGCUAUGGAGAGGGGGUGGGUAAGGAGGAGGAUGGUGUACUCAGCCUGCCUUGACCUUGGGAGGGAGUGGAGAGCAGGUCUCCUUGUCUGCAGAGCAUGCGGUCACUAAAGGCUGCGACCCACUGUGAGAACUCAGCACCUCUCGUCUAGUCCUCACAUCACCCUCCAACCCUGCAAUGUAGGGGUGCACACCCC
rnacentral:lncRNA from 1 species